CCUGUGGAGACAAGGCCACUUCUGAGGGGGACACAGGAAUAUGAUGCCACCCAAAAUGAUGCUGCUGGGCAUCAUGUAGCCAGGCUGGGCUGGAAGGAGCUCUGUGCAGUGAGAGCAAGAUGAACUUCCAUUUGUUUUCUUCAUGAUUGCAUUGCUUGUGCCUACUUUGUGAAGGAGAGAAAUGCAAGAGCAAUGCAAUUUUACUUUCUGUUUGCUAUAUCUUGAAACCAAUAAAUAAAAAUAUAUUUUAAUUUCCAAUUUUUUUCAUAAUAUUACAUUGUUUUCUUAAGUAUCUUACAUUGGAAAUUAAGUAUUUAAGUGCUAAAAAUCUAAACUUUUAAAACUCUUUAAAGUCUUUCAUAAUAUAUUUUAUAGUGUCUUUAUUUUUUAUAAAUACUUAUUCUAGUGCUAGGAAAAAAUCCCACAUUAAAUAGUGGAAAGUAUAUAUUACAUAUGUUGUAUCAGUGUUGGGACCCCCGACUUGUGAAGAAGGAUGUCUGAACUCCAAUGAUAUCAGAAGGCUAAUGAAUUACUUUAUUAUACUAUAUUACACUAUAACAAUAUUACACUAACAAGAACUAUCACUAAGUGGCUAACUAGAAAACCUGUGGAUCCAAUUGGCCAAUUAAUCCAAACACCAUCACCAGAAUCCAAUCCAGCAAUCAGCUUGGGCAAAAAAGUCUCCAGAGCACAUUCCACACGGGCAUGAACAGGGAGCACUGAAUGAGGUAAGAAUCGUUUUCAUUCUCUUUUCUCUGCUUCUCUCAGGAGCAAUCCUGAGAAAGGUAAUCUCUCUCUGUUCAGAGGGCAUGUGGAUACCACAGUGUUGCAUAUUUUACUUUGCAUGAAAUGCAUGAGAGAUACCUAGCCCUUGUGAUUAUUCCUCUCUCACUAUGCUAAAAGCACCUAAACCUGUAAUUUCUCACUUUGAGUGGCCCAACUUUACCUUUGACUCUAAGACAGUGUGUGGUACUUACCUUCAUAAGUAAAACUCGUUAUCACCUCUUGGUGCUGUUCUUAGAAAUAGCAAAGCUGAGAAGAUGUAGCAUAAUUCUACUGAGUCAUAAAGUAUGGUUGGUGAAGGCUUUAAUAUUGGAGAGGGAG